GCGGGUUUAGCUCAGUUGGGAGAGCGUCAGACUGAAGUCCACUUCGGCUACUUAACAACUAUCCACACCAGGAUAAUCUGAAGGUCGUGUGUUCGAUCCACACAAACCGCA